rnacentral:misc_RNA from 1 species
UUUCCGUAGGUGAACCUGCGGAAGGAUCAUUAAAUAGUACCACAGAUUACAUAUGCAAAUAUGACAAUCUACUACUAUAUACCAUUCCGAGUACUCUUUUUCCAUGUUGCUUCCGCGAGGCAGUCACUUCAAGUGGCCGUUUGCUCCGGAUCUCCCUUCCUGGAGAGCCGGCUGUGGGCGAGAUUUCCUUGCGAAAGGUCAAUUACAAAUCCAAUUAUGUUUUUAUUUUGUGUCUGAAUAGAUUUUUUUUUUCUUUCUUUUUUUAAUUAAUAAAUACAAAAAAAAUAAAAUAAAAUACAAAACUUUCAACAACGGAUCUCUUGGUUCUC